GGAGCGACCUGAGAUCACAUG
rnacentral:miRNA from 1 species